rnacentral:rRNA from 1 species
CAGCAGCCACGGUAACACGUAGGGUGCAAGCGUUAAUCGGAAUUACUGGGCGUAAAGCGUGCGCAGGCGGUUCUAUAAGACAGAUGUGAAAUCCCCGGGCUCAACCUGGGAACUGCAUUUGUGACUGUGGAGCUGGAGUGCGGCAGAGGGGGAUGGAAUUCCGCGUGUAGCAGUGAAAUGCGUAGAUACGCGGAGGAACACCGAUGGCGAAGGCAAUCCCCUGGGCCUGCACUGACGCUCAUGCACGAAAGCGUGGGGAGCAAACAGGAUUAGAUACCCCUGUAGUCCCUGUCUCUUAUAC